rnacentral:rRNA from 1 species
CAGCCGCCACGGUAACACGGAGGGUGCAAGCGUUAAUCGGAAUUACUGGGCGUAAAGCGCACGCAGGCGGUCUGUCAAGUCAGAUGUGAAAUCCCCGGGCUUAACCUGGGAACUGCAUUUGAAACUGGCAGGCUAGAGUCUUGUAGAGGGGGGUAGAAUUCCAGGUGUAGCGGUGAAAUGCGUAGAGAUCUGGAGGAAUACCGGUGGCGAAGGCGGCCCCCUGGACAAAGACUGACGCUCAGGUGCGAAAGCGUGGGGAGCAAACAGGAUUAGAUACCCCAGUAGUCCCUGUCUCUUAUAC